rnacentral:rRNA from 1 species
ANCUGGGUGACUAGAGUGUGUCAGAGGGAGGUAGAAUUCCACGUGUAGCAGUGAAAUGCGUAGAGAUGUGGAGGAAUACCGAUGGCGAAGGCAGCCUCCUGGGAUAACACUGACGUUCAUGCCCGAAAGCGUGGGUAGCAAACAGGAUUAGAUACCCUGGUANUCCACGCCCUAAACGAUGUCGAUUAGCUGUUGGGCAGCAUGACUGCUUAGUAGCGAAGCUAACGCGUGAAAUCGACCGCCUGGGGAGUACGGUCGCAAGAUUAAAACUCAAAGGAAUUGACGGGGACCCGCACAAGCGGUGGAUGAUGUGGAUUAAUUCGAUGCAACGCGAAGAACCUUACCUGGUCUUGACAUGUACGGAAUCCUCCAGAGACGGAGGAGUGCCUUCGGGAGCCGUAACACAGGUGCUGCAUGGCUGUCGUCAGCUCGUGUCGUGAGAUGUUGGGUUAAGUCCCGCAACGAGCGCAACCCUUGUCAUUAGUUGCCAUCAUUAAGUUGGGCACUCUAAUGAGACUGCCGGUGACAAGCCGGAGGAGGGUGGGGAUGACGUCAAGUCCUCAUGGCCCUUAUGACCAGGGCUUCACACGUCAUACAAUGGUCGGUACAGAGGGUAGCCAAGCCGCGAGGCGGAGCCAAUCUCACAAAACUGAUCGUAGUCCGGAUUGCACUCUGCAACUCGAGUGCAUGAAGUCGGAAUCGCUAGUAAUCGCUGGUCAGCAUANUGCGGUGAAUACGUUCCCGGGUCUUGUACACACCGCCCGUCACACCAUGGGAGUGGGGGAUACCAGAAGUAGGUAGGGUAACCGCAAGGAGCCCGC